UGACGUCAAGUCCUCAUGGCCUUUAUGACCAGGGCUACACACGUAUACAAUGGACCGGUACAAAGGGCAGCGACACAGCGAUGUGAAGCGAAUCCCGAAAAGCCGGUCUCAGUCCGGAUUGGAGUCUGCAACUCGACUCCAUGAAGUUGGAAUCGCUAGUAAUCGCGGAUCAGCACGCCGCGGUGAAUACGUUCCCGGGCCUU
rnacentral:rRNA from 1 species